UGGGGAAUUUUGCACAAUGGGGGAAACCCUGAUGCAGCGACGCCGCGUGGAGGAUGAAGGCCUUCGGGUUGUAAACUCCUUUUGUCGGGGACGAUGAUGACGGUACCUGAUGAAUAAGCCACGGCUAACUCUGUGCCAGCAGCCGCGGUAAGACAGAGGUGGCGAGCGUUGUUCGGAAUCACUGGGCUUAAAGGGCGCGUAGGUGGUAGUGCAAGUCCGUGGUGGAAUCCGGGAGCUUAACUCCCGAACUGCCAUGGAAACUGCGUUACUUGAGUCAGCGAGGGGAGGGUAGAAUUCCUGGUGUAGCGGUGAAAUGCGUAGAUAUCAGGAGGAAGGCCUGUGGCGAAGGCGGCCCUCUGGUGCUGGACUGACACUGAGGCGCGAAAGCGUGGGGAGCAAACAGG
rnacentral:rRNA from 1 species